rnacentral:rRNA from 1 species
GACGAACGCUGGCGGCGUGCUUAACACAUGCAAGUCGAACGAAGUGGCGAACGGGUGAGUAACGCGUAAUCAACCUGCCCUUCAGAGGGGGACAACAGUUGGAAACGACUGCUAAUACCGCAUACUGAAGGAGGGGAUUGCGUCUGAUUAGCUAGUGGGGGGGGUAACGGCCCACCAAGGCGAUGAGCAGAAGCCGGUCUGAGCGGAGGAACCGCCAAAUUGGGACUUAGGCACGGCCCAGACCCCGACGGGAGGCAGCAGUGGGGAAUCUGCCGCAAUGGACGAAAGUCUGACGGAGCAACGCCGCGUGCGUGAUGACGGCCUUCGGGUUGUAAAGCUCUGUUAAUCGGGACGCGGUACCGGAAUAGAAAGCCACGGCUAACUACGUGCCAGCAGCCGCGGUAAUAC